rnacentral:rRNA from 1 species
GCUUGCACCANAUGAAACUAGAUACAAGCGAGCGGCGGACGGGUGAGUAACACGUGGGUAACCUGCCCAAGAGACUGGGAUAACACCUGGAAACAGAUGCUAAUACCGGAUAACAACACUAGACGCAUGUCUAGAGUUUAAAAGAUGGUUCUGCUAUCACUCUUGGAUGGACCUGCGGUGCAUUAGCUAGUUGGUAAGGCAANGGCUUACCAAGGCAAUGAUGCAUAGCCGAGUUGAGAGACUGAUCGGCCACAUUGGGACUGAGACACGGCCCAAACUCCUACGGGAGGCAGCAGUAGGGAAUCUUCCACAAUGGACGCAAGUCUGAUGGAGCAACGCCGCGUGAGUGAAGAAGGGUUUCGGCUCGUAAAGCUCUGUUGGUAGUGAAGAAAGAUAGAGGUAGUAACUGGCCUUUAUUUGACGGUAAUUACUUAGAAAGUCACGGCUAACUACGUGCCAGCAGCCGCGGUAAUACGUAGGUGGCAAGCGUUGUCCGGAUUUAUUGGGCGUAAAGCGAGUGCAGGCGGUUCAAUAAGUCUGAUGUGAAAGCCUUCGGCUCAACCGGAGAAUUGCAUCAGAAACU